AUGUCUAUUCCUCCAUCAWGUCCAAACUACCUGAUCUCAGGUGGAGAGAUGAGGAGUCUCGCAUGUCUGUUUUGAAUAAGAUUCAGUCUCUAACUCCAAGACUUUCAACUAAAAACAACAUUUUCAGUGAAGCUGAACUCAGCCAACUGUAUUCAAAGGAAGAGUAUUUUAUUGUAGUGGAACUAGUCUACAUUGCCAAUAAGAUAUAGGAUUUCUUAAUCAAUAUCACUAUUGAAUCAUAUUACCAGUGAUGAUAAUACAUUGUACUAUAUACGUACUGGUAGUUAAUUUUCCCCCAUUUAUUUAAUUAAUAGGUGACAAUUGACAAACACAAGUAUUUCUCCAACUACAUCCAGUCUCUCUCCCUCUAGCACCAGGGAUCAAACAAACUCUUUUCCCAGACUGAAGGAGAUGAUAUGUGAGAGCCCAGUUGUCAUGAAAAGUCUGUGAUUUGGUUUGGGUAGAUAUGUGUUAUUAAUAUGUGAAUAUGAGAAUUGAGCAUUCUCUCUCUCUUGCCCUCUCUCUAUCUCUCUGUCUCUCCAUCUUCUCCUCCAGUUGGUCCAUCACUCCAUUUCUCUCCGUCAAUGAGCUAGUCUUUCCCAUGGGGAUGUUUGUCCAGCCUCUCUUCCACCCUAGCUAUCCCAGGUCCGUCAACUUCGGGGUUUUGGGGUCUUUGAUGGCCAAAGAUAUUCUCCAUCUCCUUCUACCAAAUAGU